GACGAACGCUGGCGGCGUGCUUAACACAUGCAAGUCGAACGGAAAGGCCCUGCUUUUGUGGGGUGCUCGAGUGGCGAACGGGUGAGUAACACGUGAGUAACCUGCCCUUGACUUUGGGAUAACUUCAGGAAACUGGGGCUAAUACCGGAUAGGAGCUCCUGCUGCAUGGUGGGGGUUGGAAAGUUUCGGCGGUUGGGGAUGGACUCGCGGCUUAUCAGCUUGUUGGUGGGGUAGUGGCUUACCAAGGCUUUGACAGGUAGCCGGCCUGAGAGGGUGGCCGGCCACAUUGGGACUGAGAUACGGCCCAGACUCCUACGGGAGGCAGCAGUGGGGAAUAUUGCACAAUGGGCGGAAGCCUGAUGCAGCAACGCCGCGUGCGGGAUGACGGCCUUCGGGUUGUAAACCGCUUUCGCCUGUGACGAAGCGUGAGUGACGGUAAUGGGUAAAGAAGCACCGGCUAACUACGU
rnacentral:rRNA from 1 species